AUCAAUAUUUCGACUGCACGUAUUCUAAAAUUGGAACGGUACAGAGAAAAUUAGCAUGGCUCCUGCGCAAGAAUGACAUGCAAAUUCGUGAAGCGAUCCACAUCAGC
rfam:Octopus bimaculoides Scaffold116485_contig_27, whole genome shotgun sequence.